rfam:Ornithorhynchus anatinus chromosome X5, whole genome shotgun sequence.
CCCCUUUCAGGACCGCACCUGGAGAGUUUCCAGGACUCUACCAGUCUUGGCUAUGGGAGGGAGAGUCAAGCAGAGACAUAACCAUUCCAUUCCUAGCUUGGGCAGUGGCUAGCGAGUGGAAGGCAAUCUGCUACAAGU